rnacentral:rRNA from 1 species
GAUGAACGCUGGCGGCGUGCCUAAUACAUGCAAGUCGAGCGAACAGAUGAGGAGCUUGCUCCUCUGACGUUAGCGUCGGACGGGUGAGUAACACGUGGAUAACCUACCUAUAAGACUGGGAUAACUUCGGUAAACCUGAGCUAAUACCGGAUAAUAUAUUGAACCUCAUGGUUCAAUAGUGAAAGACGGUUUUGCUGUCACUUAUAGAUUGAUCCGCGCCGCAUUAUCUAGUUGGUAAGGUAACGGCUUACCAAGGCAACGAUGCGUAGCCGACCUGAGAGGGUGAUCGGCCACACUGGAACUGAGACACGGUCCAGACUCCUACGGGAGGCAGCAGUAGGGAAUCUUGCGCAAUGGGCGAAAGCCUGACGGAGCAACGCCGCGUGAGUGAUGAAGGUCUUCGGAUCGUAAAACUCUGUUAUUAGGGAAGAACAAAUGUGUAAGUAACUAUGCACGUCUUGACGGUACCUAAUCAGAAAGCCACGGCUAACUACGUG